rnacentral:rRNA from 1 species
GACGAACGCUGGCGGCAUGCCUAAUACAUGCAAGUCGAGCGAACAGAUGAAGUGCUUGCACUUCUGACGUUAGCGGCGAACGGGUGAGUAACACGUAAGGAAUCUGCCUAUAAGCGGGGGAUAACAUUCGGAAACGGGUGCUAAUACCGCAUAAUAUCUUCUUCCGCAUGGAAGAAGAUUGAAAGACGGCUCUGCUGUCACUUAUAGAUGACCUUGCGGUGCAUUAGUUAGUUGGUGGGGUAACGGCCUACCAAGACGAUGAUGCAUAGCCGACCUGAGAGGGUGAUCGGCCACAUUGGGACUGAGACCCGGCCCAAACUCCUACGGGAGGCAGCAGUAGGGAAUCUUCCGCAAUGGGCGAAAGCCUGACGGAGCAAUGCCGCGUGAGUGAAGAAGGCCUUCGGGUCGUAAAACUCUGUUAUAAGAGAAGAACAAAUUGUAGAGUAACUGCUACAGUCUUGACGGUAUCUUAUCAGAAAGCCACGGCUAACUACGUACCAGCAGCCGCGGUAA